rnacentral:rRNA from 1 species
CAAUAGCGUAUAUUAAAGUUGUUGCAGUUAGAACGCUCGUAGUCGGAUUUCGGGGCGGGCCGACCGGUCUGCCGAUGGGUAUGCACUGGUCGGCGCGUCCUUCCUUCCGGAGACCGUCCCUACUCUUAACUGAGCGGGGGCGGGAGACGGGACUUUUACUUUGAAAAAAUCAGAGUGUUUCAAGCAGGCAGCUCGCUCUUGCAUGGAUUAGCAUGGGAUAAUGAAAUAGGACUUUGGUGCUAUUUUGUUGGUUUCGAACACCGAAGUAAUGAUGAGAAGGGACAGUCAGGGGCACUCGUAUUCCGCCGAGAGAGGUGAAAUUCUCAGACCAGCGGAAGACGAACCACUGCGAAANCANNNGCCAGGGAUGUUUUCACNGG